rnacentral:rRNA from 1 species
CUACCCGGGUAUCUAAUCCUGUUUGCUCCCCACGCUUUCGUGUCUCAGCGUCAGUACUCGUCCAGUUGGCCGCCUUCGCCACCGGUGUUCCUCUCGAUAUCUACGAAUUUCACCUCUACACCGAGAAUUCCACCAACCUCUCCGGUACUCGAGCCACGCAGUAUCGGGUGCACUUCCCGGGUUGAGCCCGGGGCUUUCACAUCCGACUUGCGCGGCCGCCUACACACGCUUUACGCCCAGUAAUUCCGAACAACGUUUGCACCCUCUGUCUUACCGCGGCUGCUGGCAC